rnacentral:rRNA from 1 species
AUUUGAAAUCUGGCGGUCUCCAUGGCCGCCCGAGUUGUAAUCUAGAGAAGCGCCAUCCGCGUCAGCCCGCGUAAAAGUCUCUUGGAAUAGAGCGUCGCAGARGGUGAGAACCCCGUCUCCGACGCGGACUGCUGGUGUGUUGCGAUGCGCUCUCGACGAGUCGAGUUGUUUGGGAAUGCAGCUCAAAAUGGGUGGUAAAUUCCAUCUAAAGCUAAAUAUUGGCGAGAGACCGAUAGCGAACAAGUACCGUGAGGGAAAGAUGAAAAGAACUUUGGAAAGAGAGUUAAACAGUACGUGAAAUUGUUGAAAGGGAAACGCUUGAAGUCAGUCGCGUACGCUGGGGAUCAACCUUCUCUCGAGUUGGCGCACUCUCCAGCGAACGGGUCGGCAUCAAUUUUGUCUGCUGAAAAACGGCGGGAGGAAUGUGACAUCUUUGGAUGUGUUAUAGCCUCCCGUCACACGCACCAGACGGGAUUGAGGAACUCAGCACGCCGCAAGGCCGGGGCUCGCCCACGUACGUGCUUAGGAUGCCGGCAUAAUGGCUUUAAUCGACCCGUCUUGAAACACGGACCAAGGAGUCUAACAUGCUCGCGAGUGUUUGGGUGUUAAACCCGAGCGCGUAACGAAAGUGAAAGUUGAGACCUCUGUCAUGGAGUGCAUCGACGCCCAGACCAGACCUUUUGCGACGGAUCUGCGGUCAAGCGCGUAUGUUGGGACCCGAAAGAUGGUGAACUAUGCCUGAAUAGGGCGAAGCCAGAGGAAACUCUGGUGGAGGCUCGUAGCGAU